rnacentral:tRNA from 1 species
AGUCCCGGGGUGGCCGCCACGCCAAAGUGCAAAUUUGGAGCAGCACCCCAAAAAGGUGCCGGGGCUU